UUUCUUCACCUCUCGCCAGUGGCACGGCGUGGAAAGGCACCGCUGCUGCACACACGAUAGUUACUAGCACUAGGAGCUACGUACACGCCUCGCUCCAUGUGCAGUGGUGCGGCGCAACUGUAAAGCACCGGCAUAUACUCAGAAUUUGUUGCAAUGUCCGCUAUAAAAGGCUCCCGCGCCUUCUUCGCUUCUCCUGCAUUCACAAGUCACAGCUCACGAUUCUGCAAACCAUCAACAAGAAGAGGCUCCAUCACAUCUAGCCAGCUAGCCAAAGACGAUGAGGCCGAACGCCCUGACGCUGCCGCUACCUCUCGCCUUCCUCCUCCUCCUCCUCCUCCUCGUGCUAGCACCAGCUAAGGCGAGAGAUGAUUGUACAAGCCAUAUAUAUCAUCGGGUGCAAGAACAAACCCGAGCCGCCUUGUCCGUGCGACCGCGCGGAGUGUAGCUUCGACAGCCGUGUAGCGUUCGCUCAGCUUGGGUGCCCGAAAGAUGCGACCAGAUGCACUUGGACAGGACAGUGCAUCAACCGGGGGUGCAACUUCACCUACUGCGUAUAUAGAUAAGAUAGGUGGGCAUGUCGACCUGAUAAAAUAACAAAGAUGAUAUCAUAGAUGGCAAUGCAGUAUGUAGUUCUGUUCGCUGCAAAGUGAUGUACCUAAAUGGUGAAUUAUUUACAUGCCUACCAUGGAUAUGUCUCGUUUAUCA